AUGGUCUGGGAAUAGUAGAGUGUAAGACUCGUUCCGGUUCAGAGUGAAAGUGUUCUUCAGAUGUACUGCGUUCACUCCAGCGGGAAUGGCCUUUUACAGCCGAAACCCGUUCAAAUUCAUUCAGGUGCUAGUCUAGUGGCGGCCGGUUCCGAUUCCGCGCGUUAAACAGCCUGUCGUCAAUUUCUUUUUAGAAAAUUUCAGCAGUAGCCAAAGGCACAACACUUUAUAGGUGUGGGAGUUGAAAACGAAGACAAUGACAUUCCUGAAAAGUCUUUGAAUCGUUCUGAAAUCGAGUGUCAAAACUAAUGAAG